UACGAAGGGGGCUAGCGUUGUUCGGAAUUACUGGGCGUAAAGCGUGCGCAGGCGGCUUCUCAAGUCAGGGGUGAAAACCCAGAGCUCAACUCUGGAAUUGCCUUUGAGACUGAGUGGCUUGAGUACGAGAGAGGUGAGUGGAAUUCCCAGUGUAGAGGUGAAAUUCGUAGAUAUUGGGAAGAACACCGGUGGCGAAGGCGGCUCACUGGCUCGUAACUGACGCUCAUGCACGACAGCGUGGGGAUCAAACAGG
rnacentral:rRNA from 1 species